rnacentral:lncRNA from 1 species
UCGAUUGUUAUGAUCAUGAUGUUCGGUGGGUCGAUUUUUGGUGGUUUGAAGAAUGAAUUUGGAUAUGCUCUAAUGGAUUGAUAAGGGGAUUUAGGGAAGGAAUGGAGAAAUUGAUCAAAAGUUGAACGUAGAUUAAUGUUGGUUUGUUGUCUUUUGUUCCGUUCGGUACAAGUGGAUGUAAUAUACUUACGCCAUAUUGAAAUGGAUAGGCAAUAUAGGUUUGGGUAGACAAGAAUUUAAGAUUGAUGUUUUGUUUGAAUGUGGAGUAUGUGUUGAAUGUUUUCUACUUUAUCGCAUGCAAUUCAAAUGUAUUCAUUUAGCCGGGGAAUGCCCCGAGGUCUUCUGUACUUAUUACCGGGGAAUGCCCCGACGUAUCAUGUUGGCGAAAAAUGAUCGUGAUGAAGGCCCGCGAAAUCGGGUAAGGCAUUGGAGAUUAGUCUAGGGUAAAAUAGAUUUAUAUUUUCGCAUUAUUUAUUUUUGGACUGUAUAAUUGGACUGGACUUUACAUUUUUGGAUUGUUUUGUUUUGUUUAUUGUUUGAUUAUUUUGCGUGCUUUUGUGUGUGAUUUAUACAUUUCCUAAUGCCAAAAUAGUCGAUAC